rnacentral:rRNA from 1 species
AGUGAACGCUGGCGGCGUGCUUAACACAUGCAAGUCGAACGAGAACGGAUUAUAGCUUGCUAUAAUUGUCAGCUAAGUGGCGCACGGGUGAGUAAUAUAUAGGUAACGUGCCCCAAAGAAGAGGAUAACAGAUGGAAACGUCUGCUAAGACUCUAUAUGCCUUUAUGACAAAAGCCAGCAAGGGAAAUAUUUAUAGCUUUGGGAUCGGCCUGUACAGUAUCAGUUAGUUGGUGAGGUAAUGGCUCACCAAGACAAUGACGCUUAACUGGUUUGAGAGGAUGAUCAGUCACACUGGAACUGAGACACGGUCCAGACUCCUACGGGAGGCAGCAGGUGGGGAAUAUUGCACAAUGGACGAAAGUCUGAUGCAGCAACGCCGCGUGGAGGAUGACACAUUUCGGUGCGUAAACUCCUUUUAUAUAGGAAGAUAAUGACGGUACUAUAUGAAUAAGCACCGGCUAACUCCGUG